rnacentral:lncRNA from 1 species
GUAAAUGACGGGAUUCUAGGGAAGAAGUACUCAAAUCAAUAGAUAAGGACAGCAGAAGCUCCUUCAUCUUUCCAUCAUCUUUCCUUCAUCUAUCUUGAAGGUAAGGUGUUUUCUUAUCUGGACAAGAUUCCUUUGUAGGUCAGAAGAAAAACAGAAUUCCUUGUUCUGUUUUGUUGUAGUGUAAAUAUCAGUUUAUAGUGGCAGAGAUGCGUAAGGAUACUGGUGAAGUGGCACAACAGAUGACACCUUUCAUGCAGGAGGAAGUGAGGGCAGCAUCAGGAAGGGAUCAAGUAAGAGUUGGGCAAAGUGGGAAAUUCACUCAAAAGCCAUUCAGCAAUGGAACAUUCUCUGCAUACCUGUUGAAAUAAGGAAACUUUUCUAAUUUCAUUUGUUUCAUGAGUUAAUUAGUUGGAGAAAGAAUAGAUUCUAUGAGGGGGAAGUGGGCAGUAAAUGGAGAGAAUAAAGCUUGCUGCUAGGACCAUCUUUUGAAUUUUAUGGGGUGUCUGUAUCUACUUCUUAUUUGUUUGCUCAUUAUCCACUGAAUGAUGCAUGAUAUGUCAGAACUGAUGUGCUCUGGCGCAUGCCCAUCUGCUCAGGUUUUGGCUUGGAAGAUCAUCAAGUUGAAAGCUGAAAUAGCUGAUGAUGUGACUAUAUUACAACUACCACCGAAUUCUGAAGUUGAUGGGCUCCUGACUGCUCUUAAGGAUUGGAUCUCAGAUGAGCACCUGAGCAAACUCCAAAGACAAGAAGAAAGCAAGGACGGUCAGAAGCCUCAGUCUGCUGGAAGAACCCACAUCCAGGAGAAGGUAGAGGGACUGGAAUUUGCUCUGCUUCAUAUGUUUUCAGAUUCACAGAUGCUCACACCCAAUUGAAAAUACUUUAAUGUCUCUGUUGGAUCUUGAAGUUUCAGUGAAUGACUUAUGACAGAUCAUACUAUGUGAUACUGAAAGCCUUUCCUUCCAUCUCUCCAGGGGCACCAAGGCUUGGAAAUCAAUGCGGUGUUCAGGAGUUCUACUUGUACUGCUUUCCUUCAUUCUCUGAAGGGUUUGUAGGCACUGGUGUUGGUCUUGGUGGUUGAGCUCACACGACGAUGCAUCUCUGGUUGCUACUGUCCAACCAAUUCCUGAUUUGGCUCCUAAGCCACUCUUCAAACACAAACCAGUCCAGACCACUGCCAAUCUGCCUGUGCUGCAGUGGUACAGAGCUGAGGCAAUGUGCGACUCCUCUGAAGCUGAUGGACUGCAAAAGAUUUGGACUAUCAAAGCUUUGGGAUGGGAAAUGUUUGGGGGGGUGGAAAUUUUUGGGGUGGGAAAUGAAAUGGAAGCUAUUUGGGGGGGGGGGGGGGGGGAGGAAGGGGAGCAGGG